AGUCCCGCCGAGAGCCGCACUGAAGAGCCCCAGCCUGGCCGUCCCGCGGUUUCCCGCCGCCUCACCAGUCUCGGGCGGGAGGGGCCCCGGCGCUGGCGUGGCCGCGGCUCCCACAACGCAGCCAGGACUGCACUCGGGGCUGCUGGGGCCCGCGUGCGUCCCGGGCGGCUCCACGCGUCGGGGUCGCCCCCGCGCCUCCCACCCCCGGCCUCUCGGGGCCGCCGGCUCGCGCGCCUUCCAGGCGAAGGCCAGAGGCCGCAGUGAGGGGCACCGAGUGGCGGGCUCCUCCGCACCACCCCCGGGCUUUAUAAUAAAAGUCGCCGUUGUUUAAGAGCCAGGUCGGAGGCGCCGCUUUCUGGGCGGUGAAAGCCGAAGCGAGAGCGGGCAAUUCGCUGCGGCGGCGGCCGCUUCCUGGGCGUCGGUCCAGUGCCCCGGCCCGGCCUGGGAGACCCGCACCAACCCCGGGAGGGAGGACGGGGCGCGGGCGCAGCCUAGGGGCCGAAGCACUGCACGCACGGCCGGCGCGGGGGCAGAGGGGAGACAGGGAAGCCUGAGCUCCGCGCUGCUGAAGGCUCCGGGGAUGGGUGGGCGGCGGUGAGGUAGUCUUGCCCGGGCCCUGCCCGCGUGGGCGCUUUCUGAGUCUCUGUCGCGUGACGGAGGCGGGACCUAGGCUGUGUCUCCUGCGGGGCGAAAGCACGGAAGAGAUCCGAGGGCAUUUCUUGAGCCUGGCAGGAGGCCAGGGGUUUUACAGGGCAGGAAGGAACCUGGAGGAACCGAGGAGCCACGUUGUUGGUUGGAAAGAAGGGUGGCCAGGAGCGGUGUGCGGAUGCUGAUCAGCCCACCGAAUGCUCACCACUGAGGGGCUGCAGCGGCCAGGUGUGAGGGGAAGAGACUGCAGAGAGGUGACAAGGCCGUCAAAGGAGAGGAGCCACCACUGGGGAGCCUGGUGGCUCAGGAAGGCAGCUGGUGUGGGUGUGGGAGAGUCGGAUCAGAAGGCCAGCACUGCUCAUCAUGGAGCACCUGGGAGAGCAGCAGCGACUCAGCUCCUGGCACCAGGGCAUACCCGAAGUAACCAAUGAAUCCUCUAGGGGGUAUUUAAACUCCCCCAAAUUCUGUAACAGGGCCUUUUGAAUCCUACACUCAGGCCCAUUCCCACACAGUGGAGUGUACUUUCAUUUUCAAUAAAAUCUUCAUUCCUUCCUUGCUUUGUUUGUGUGUCUCUUCCAAUUCUUUGUUCAAGAUGCCAAGAACCUGGACACUCUCCACCUUUAACACAGGGGUUGUUUAAUUUACCUUUUGCCUUAGAAAUAUAAAAAGAUACACAGUAAAGGUGUGUAAAAGGAAAGGCCUCUUUCACCCUUACCCCACCCCCAUCCCUCCCUAAAGGUCCCUGUGAUUAGCUUGGUGUGUGUCCAGCCCUCCCUCUGCAUUUCACACGGAUAUGCGAACAGUGGAUCAGGCUUGGGUUUGUUUCUUCCAAUAAACGGCAUCAUGCGGUAUGUAUUGUUCUUUAAUGUGCUUUUGGAGACGUUUCCAAUCCAGCAAACCCUUUUAUCCAUUUCAUAAUAUUCCGUAGAAUGCAUGCUCCCCAUCUUGAGGGAAGUUUGGGUUGUUUCAUUCUGCUUUGUUAGGACGAAUGCCUGCUUUUGUGCACACAGUUGAGUAUGGGGCUGGGAUUUGAGGGGAAGAGGCUCUGUUUGAGUCCCUGUUGAUGUGAGGUGAAGGUGUGUUGGUCCGGCACUAAGCAGGCAGUGGACAAUACAUGCUGAGCUGGGUUGGGAGUGGACUCUUGGGAUUCGGGACUCAAAAAUAAUGUACGGCCAGGUAAAUUGCUGGUUUUGCUUCUGGGUCACAGGAAGGGCUGCGGUCCCCGCAGACCCAGAUGCGUCCACUAGAUGGCGCCAAAGCCAGUAAGGUGAGGCGCUUGUGACAGAAGCCCCGACUUGCUGCAGGAGUCUGGGCCCAGGGUCUGACUCCUGAGCUCCUAGGAGAUGGAUGAAUAUUCUUCCUGCACCGCCAGCUGCCUCGCUUAAACGUGGGGAGGCUGAAGAGGGUGCAAAGCUGGGUGAACAUGAGUGAUUAGACAGGAUGUGCCCUGGCCAAGACAGGGAGCUGAAAUUCAGUCUGUGGAACAGGCUGUGAUGGCCCAGAGGAAAUCCAUAGGUGGGAGGAAAACUAUGGACCCUGUGCUCCAUAUUGCCAGGACCUGCAGAGGAACUAGCUCCUGCAGAAGAUGCAGGAUUUGGACGGGAAGAUUGGGCAAGGGUUCUGUCUACUGGGCACUGAAGGUUUGAUGGGGACACUGGGAUGGUCCCUGCCACCAAAGCAGCUCAAGCUCAGGCAGAGGAAAUAGAAACUGGACAAAUGCAGUAUUUCUUAUGGGCACUGCUCUAAGGAGUAAUUUGGAAUCCAGUAGGGUGAUGUAAGUGAAGGUGCUUUGAAACCUCCCAAAGCUCUCGCCCAGGUAAGGAGGUUUGUGGUCCUUGUCACCAUUUACCCAGGAAAGCUUCAAAGCAGCAGCGGCGGCGGCGGCGGCGGCGGCGGCAGCAGAAUUUCCCUCCUUCCCUCCUGUUACUCUCCCAGCCUCCUCUCCCUCCUAUCACUCUCCUAAGUUCAGAGCUGACCCCACUCCUCUGCUACCCAUGGUGGUAGCCAGGCCUGUGCCUCUCCUAGCAUCAGAAGCUGCCCCAGGCUCCCAGGACUGGAGCUCAGAUCUGAUUUUGAAAAACUGAAUGAAUGGGUGAGAGCGGUGGCUUAUGCCUGUACUCCCAGCAUUUUGGAAGAUUGAGGUGGGUGAAUUGCUUGAGCUCAGGAGUUCAAGACCAGCCUGGGCAACAUGGUGAAACCCUGUCUUUACAAAAAAAUACAAAAAUUAGCUGGACAUGGUGGCACACACCUGUAGUCCCAGCUACCUGGGAGGCUGAGGUAGGAGGAUUGCUUGAACCACGGGAGACAGAGGUCGCAGUGAGCCAAGAUUGUGCCACUUUACUCCAGCCUGGAUGACAGAGCGAGAUUGUCUCAAAAAAAAAAAAAAAAAGAAAAAAGAAAAAAAAAAAGCCGGGCACGGUGGCUUAUGCCUGUAAUCCCAGGACUUUGGGAGGCCAAGGCGGGUGGGUCACGAGGUCACGAGAUCGAGACCAUCCUGGCUAACACAG
rnacentral:lncRNA from 1 species